UACGGAGGGGGUUAGCGUUAAUCGGAAUUACUGGGCGUAAAGCGCACGCAGGCGGUUUGUUAAGCUAGAUGUGAAAGCCCCGGGCUCAACCUGGGAUGGUCAUUUAGAACUGGCAGACUAGAGUCUUGGAGAGGGGAGUGGAAUUCCAGGUGUAGCGGUGAAAUGCGUAGAUAUCUGGAGGAACAUCAGUGGCGAAGGCGACUCCCUGGCCAAAGACUGACGCUCAUGUGCGAAAGUGUGGGUAGCGAACAGG
rnacentral:rRNA from 1 species